rnacentral:rRNA from 1 species
AACGAACGCUGGCGGCAGGCCUAACACAUGCAAGUCGAGCGCACCUUCGGGUGAGCGGCGGACGGGUGAGUAACGCGUGGGAAUAUGCCCUUCACUACGGAAUAGCCUCGGGAAACUGAGAGUAAUACCGUAUACGCCCUUCGGGGGAAAGAUUUAUCGGUGAGGGAUUAGCCCGCGUUGGAUUAGGUAGUUGGUGGGGUAAAAGCCUACCAAGCCGACGAUCCAUAGCUGGUUUGAGAGGAUGAUCAGCCACACUGGGACUGAGACACGGCCCAGACUCCUACGGGAGGCAGCAGUGGGGAAUCUUAGACAAUGGGGGAAACCCUGAUCUAGCCAUGCCGCGUGAGUGACGAAGGCCCUAGGGUCGUAAAGCUCUUUCGCCAGGGAAGAUAAUGACGGUACCUGGUAAAGAAGUCCCGGCUAACUCCGUG